UACGGAGGGGGCUAGCGUUGUUCGGAAUUACUGGGCGUAAAGCGUACGUAGGCGGCUUUGUAAGUUAGAGGUGAAAGCCCGGGGCUCAACCCCGGAAUUGCCUUUAAGACUGCAUCGCUUGAACGUCGGAGAGGUGAGUGGAAUUCCGAGUGUAGAGGUGAAAUUCGUAGAUAUUCGCAAGAACACCAGUGGCGAAGGCGGCUCACUGGCCCGGUACUGACGCUGAGAUGCGAAAGCGUGGGGAGCAAACAGG
rnacentral:rRNA from 1 species